rnacentral:ncRNA from 2 species
CGUCACCUCACUGGAGAGAGGCUGCCGCUGCGGUAUCGCGGCAGUCCACCGAAGGGGCAAGCGGAAGGGCGACACAGCCGCCUACCGUCAAUCUCUCAGGUAAAGCGGACAGCGAGGGCAAC